UAUACCUACGGGGGGCAGCAGUAGGGAAUCUUCCACAAUGGACGAAAGUCUGAUGGAGCAACGCCGCGUGAGUGAAGAAGGGUUUCGGCUCGUAAAGAUCUGUUGGUAGUGAAGAAAGAUAGAGGUAGUAACUGGCCUUUAUUUGACGGUAAUUACUUAGAAAGUCACGGCUAACUACGUGCCAGCAGCCGCGGUAAUACGUAGGUGGCAAGCGUUUUCCGGGUUUUUUGGGCGUAAAGGGCACGCAGGGGGUCUUUUUAGUCUGAU
rnacentral:rRNA from 1 species